rnacentral:rRNA from 1 species
GAUGAACGCUGGCGGCGUGCCUAAUACAUGCAAGUCGAGCGAACAGACGAGGAGCUUGCUCCUCUGACGUUAGCGGCGGACGGGUGAGUAACACGUGGAUAACCUACCUAUAAGACUGGGAUAACUUCGGGAAACCGGAGCUAAUACCGGAUAACAUGUUGAACCGCAUGGUUCAACAGUGAAAGACGGUCUUGCCGUCACUUAUAGAUGGAUCCGCGCCGCAUUAGCUAGUUGGUAAGGUAACGGCUUACCAAGGCAACGAUGCGUAGCCGACCUGAGAGGGUGAUCGGCCACACUGGAACUGAGACACGGUCCAGACUCCUACGGGAGGCAGCAGUAGGGAAUCUUCCGCAAUGGGCGAAAGCCUGACGGAGCGACGGCGCGUGAGUGAAGAAGGUCUUCGGAUCGUAAAACUCUGUUAUUAGGGAAGAACAAAUGUGUAAGUAACUAUGCACGUCUUGACGGUACCUAAUCAGAAAGCCACGGCUAACUACGUG